AGCAGCCGCGGUAAUUCCAGCUCCAAUAGCGUAUAUUAAAGUUGUUGCAGUUAAAAAGCUCGUAGUUGAAUUUCGGGAUCAGUAGGUUGGUCAUGCCUCUGGUAUGUACUGGUCUCACUGGUUCCUCCUUCCUGAUGAACCGUAAUGCCAUUAAUUUGGUGUUGCGGGGAGACUGGACUGUUACUUUGAAAAAUUAGAGUGUUUAAAGCAGGCUUACGCUUGAAUACAUUAGCAUGGAAUAAUGAAAUAGGACGUUCGAUCCUAUUUUGUUGGUUUCUAGGAUUGACGUAAUGAUUAAUAGGGAUAGUUGGGGGCAUUAGUAUUCAAUUGUCAGAGGUGAAAUUCUUGGAUUUAUUGAAGACUAACUACUGCGAAAGCAUUUGCCAAGGAUGUUUUCAUUAAUCAAGAACGAAAGUUAGGGGAUCGAAGACGAUCAGAUACCGUCGUAG
rnacentral:rRNA from 1 species